AAGAAAUACUCAGACCCAACAAGCCUCCAGCCAGAAUGCCAGCUAUUUUGCAUUUAAAGGAAUUGACUUCCACAUUCAUUGAGCUUUUAAAAAGACCACAACCUCAGAAUGGUUAAAAUCCAUUGACAUUUGCACUUUCAGAUAUGACAAGUCUUGGAGCUGCUGAGAUGACUGGCCCCUGGCCUUUCUACUUAUGCCUCCUUUUCUCCCUGUCCCCCCACCUCCCACCCUGCCUGGGUCUGGAGUUACUUUCAUAGCAUUUCUCACUCUUGGCUGCUUUUUUCCCCCUGAUGGUCAAGUCUCUUAUGUUUCAAUAUUUUUUAACUGGGGUGUCUUAUAACAAAAGAUCCUUAGAUCUAAAAUAAGAAAAAAAGAGAGAAAACUAAAUGUUAUUUUUAUAGCAUAACUUGAGUCUAUUGCCAAAAUCUGGAACUCUCUCCCAUGCCUGAUGAGUUUACAUCCCGGAAACAUUGAGCCAUCAGAAGGAACUGUGUACCUGACUUCUUCUCUGGCCUGGCUAGAUGAAAAAUACCCUCUGACCUUGAGGAUUAUUCUUGUUUAAAAGGGGUGCAUUCAGAUUGAGAAGUGGUGUUGGCAGCAAGCUUUGGCUUGGGUCGAUUUGGUUUGAAUGGUGCUGCUUAUCCAAAUUCCAAGGAAGUAUUUGGGGGACCCCAGCCUCAUUCUCUUAGACAGGUCUUGUUCCCUUCAUUCCACUGUUUUGCCUUUUCCUCAUCUCUCUUUCCCUGGCUUCCUUUUCCUUUUUUCUAUUCACUCUGCUUGCUUGUUGGCCUGACUGCCUGUCUGCCUAUGUGACGAUGAAUUGUCUGCAUGGCUGCAAUGAUCUCACUGUUAGCUGGCAAGGUCAGGCUUAGCUCCAUGACUGCAGAAGACCAAGAACCUGUUCCCCAGCUCUAGUGGUGUCCACUCUGGGAUGGACUGCCUCAAGCUUACACUAUAGCAGAGCAGCAGGCCUGCCCAAUUAGCAUGUAAUCAGGAGGGCUUCUGGCAGUUUCCACACCUGUCCACUCCUUGGAGCUAGUUUCUUUCCAUGCUUUUUCUAGAUCUGGUUCUUUUUCUCUACCUGGGGCAUCCCUUUUCUGAGGUUGUCCUACGGUUGAGCUAUUUGGGUAUCCAGGAUUAGAGAGCUAGGGAAUGAACAUAGGGGAAGAAGGGAGUGAUGAGAAGGGAAUGGAGAGAUUUUGUGUAAAAGAUGGGAAAGGAGAGCACUGCUCUUUGAUUAUUUAUCCAGUCCAGCCUGAUUCAUUGGUGGUUGAUGGAGGUGCUACUGCUGGCCUCUAGGGAUAAGCAAGCCUAGGGCUAUCGUUGCUGAGAAUUCAGGCUUAGAAUAAGGCUAAAGAAGAAGUGUGAAACCUCCCUAAAAAGCUCCUAUUCCUACCUGCUGGAUAGCUUCUCUGUGGCCUCCUCUUUGGCUAAGCAGAAGUGUAUUUGGAGAGUUCUCUUGUUCUGUCCAGAAUUCUGUGAAUGAGGUCAGCACUCAAGAUGGGAAGCAAAGGGAACAUUGACUUCUUAGCUGCCCAAUGAGAUAUCUGCAAGGCUGGUGGGACAAUGUUUUUAGACCUGGCAUCAUGUGGAACAAAGAAGAAUGGAAGUUCCUUCCCCUUCAGGAUAGAAAAGUCAUCUCAAACUAGCCAAAAGGCAGUUUUGGAAAGCACGUUGGGGGAAGUUAUUUUUAUUUAUUUACUAGGCUUAGGCCAAUCCAGGAUCAUAGCUGAGAUGCCUUCCUUCUUCAAGUCUGAUCAUGGCAGGGAUAUGCAAGGCACUCUUUGCUAUUUGGCCUUCUAAGCAGAUUGGGAAGGAGGGAUUCUCCGAUUUUCUCUUUCCCCACAUUUACUAGGACUUGCCUUCUCCCUGGGCAGGGAGAGAGGCUGGGUUGGUGCUCUCCCCUUACUCUGCUCCUACUGACUUAGAACCUCUGGCUGCUGUUAGGGGGCCCAAGGGAGUGGAAGGAAUGGGCUCAAAACAAAACAGAAUGAGGUGGGGAAGGCAUAUUUUUUUCUUUGAAAAGGAAAAUAGGAAACUCUCCAAGAAUUGUGCAAGUGAAUACAAUGUGUCGAAUGCACUGAGUCCCCUUGUGUAGUAGCAAUAAGGAAGAAUGAAAUGACUUUCCUGUGCACACAGUCCAACCUGAUUGGUGUGUGAUGUUGCACUUAGCCAUGUGGUGGGCAUGUGUGACUACUCUGGGUUUCACUUUAGUUUCUGAACUUUUUAUCCCUUUCAAGUCCAGCAUGGAUGGGGAAAUGUCCCUGGAGCCCCAAGCUGUGUACUUGUUUGCAUUUGUUUCCCUUUGAGACUUGUGUUUGUGUCCUGCUUUGAGCUGUACCUUGUCUAGUCCAUUGUGAAAUUAUCCCAGCAGCUGUAAUGUACAGUUCCUUCUGAAGCAAGCAACAGCAUCAGCACAAUUUUGUGUUUUAUAAAGACAACAGUGGCUUCUAUUUCUAAA